rnacentral:snRNA from 1 species
UCUGUUCUUAUCACUUUAACAUCUGACAUGUCCUCUAGCCCAGGACGACAUAGUAAAUGGUCUUUUGGCACAGGGAGUAGGAAUAAGAGCUUGCUCCAUCCACUCUAUGCAUCAACCUGGUAUUGCAGCACCUCCAGUAACUGGUGC